rnacentral:rRNA from 1 species
AAUCAACGCUGGCGGCGUGCCUAACACAUGCAAGUCGAACGCGAAAGCCCCUUCGGGGGUAAGUAGAGUGGCGUCCGGGUGAGUAACACGUAGGUAAUCUACCUUCGGGUGGGGAAGUAACCAGUCGAAAGAUUGGCUAAUACCGCAUAAUGCAGCGGCACCUAAUGGUGAUUAGUUGUUAAAGCGGGGGAGUCGUAAGACCUCGCGCCUGAAGAGGAGCCUGCGGCAGAUUAGCUAGNGGUGAGGUAAUGGCUCACCAAGGCUUCGAUCUGUAGCUGGUCUGAGAGGACGGCCAGCCACACUGGCACUGACACACGGGCCAGACUCCUACGGGAGGCAGCAGUGGGGAAUUUUGGGCAAUGGGCGAAAGCCUGACCCAGCAACGCCGCGUGAGGGAGGAAAUCCUUCGGGAUGUAAACCUCACAAGCAAGGGAAGAGAGCUCAGGGCCGAAUAAGCUUUGAGUCCGACGGUACCUUGCGUAAGCCACGGCUAACUACGUGCCAGCC